GUGCUUGCUUCAGCAGCACAUAUGCUAAAAUUGGAACAGUACAGAGAUUAGCAUGACCCCUGCAGAAGGAUGACAUGCAAAUUCAUGAAGUGCUCCAUAUUUUG